AUGAAUGUCUUAAGUUGGAACUGCCGAGGGGCGGGGAACCCUCGGACAGUUCGUGAUCUUGUGAGUCUUGUUCAGACUCACUUCCCUAGCAUUGUUUUUCUUUGUGAAACUCGACAGCCCAAGAAUAAAAUGAGUAGGUAUCGUGCUCGCUUAGGUUUAAAGGGUUUUGAUGCUUCUGAUAGUGUUGGUCUUAGUGGAGGUCUUGCUUUGUAUUGGCAUGAGGCAUUGUGUGUGGAUGUAAAAACAAUAAAUGAAAGAUAUAUCGAUGCGUAUGUGACGAGUGUGGCGGGCGAGCCGCCCUGA
rnacentral:rRNA from 1 species